rnacentral:lncRNA from 1 species
GGGCUUAACAGCGAGAGCCACGGCUUCGGGUUGAGAAGUUCGAACAGCGGCGACUUCCUUCUACUUUUCACCUCGAAUCAAUAAGGCAUAUGCCUUAUUAACUGUUGGUAAUGGCUCUGUGGACAACAGCUGAUCUCGCAACGUGUCGUAGGAGUCCUUGAGACCAAAAAGAAACUGAUGUAGUCUCUCUUCUUCUUUCUCAACUUGGAUCUCUCUAGUGGCUCCACACGAAUAAGUCGGCACCUUGGAAUAAGCCGUAAGUUCCUCCCACAAGCCACGAAGAUGGGCAUAAUAAGCGGCAAUAGUCAUAUCAUUGCCUUGCCUGAAACUCCAGAUUUCGGUCUUUAACUCAUGAAUGCGAGGAGCAUUGCCUUGAGAGUAUCUU